rnacentral:rRNA from 1 species
AUUGAACGCUGGCGGCAUGCUUUACACAUGCAAGUCGAACGGUAACAGGCCUUCGGGUGCUGACGCGUGGCGGACGGGCGAGUAAUGCAUCGGAACGUGCCCAGCGGUGGGGGAUAACGCAGCGAAAGCUGUGCUAAUACCGCAUGUGAUCUGAGCUUGAGAGCGGGGGACCAGGCAGCAAUGUUUGGCCUCGCGCCUUUGGAGCGGCCGAUGUCGGAGUAGGUAGUUGGUGGGGUAAAGGCCUACCAAGCCGACGAUCUGUAGCUGGUCUGAGUGGACGGCAGGCGACACGGGAACUGAGCCAGGGACAAGACGCCUAAGGGAGGCAGCAGUGGGGAAUGUUGGGCAAUGGGCGGAAGCCUGAUCCAGCAAUGCCGCGUGCGGGAAGAAGGCCUUCGGGUUGUAAACCGCUUUUGUACGGAACGAAAAGGCUCUGGCUAAGACCUGGGGCGGAUGACGGUACCGUAAGAAUAAGCACCGGCUAACUACGUG